UCAGUCGACUCCUACGGGGAGGCAGCAGUGGGGAAUAUUGCACAAUGGGGGAAACCCUGAUGCAGCCAUGCCGCGUGUGUGAAGAAGGCCUUCGGGUUGUAAAGCACUUUCAGUAGGGAGGAAGGUAGUGUAGUUAACACCUGCAUUAUUUGACGUUACCUACAGAAGAAGCACCGGCUAACUCCGUGCCAGCAGCCGCGGUAAUACGGAGGGUGCGAGCGUUAAUCGGAAUUACUGGGCGUAAAGCGCAUGCAGGCGGCCUGUUAAGUCAGAUGUGAAAGCCCGGGGCUUAACCUCGGAAUUGCAUUUGAAACUGGCAGGCUAGAGUCUUGUAGAGGGGGGUAGGAAUUUCAGGUGUAGCGGUGAAAUGCGUAGAGAUCUGAAGGAAUACCAGUGGCGAAGGCGGCCCCCUCGGACAAAGACUGACGCUCAGAUGCGAAAGCGUGGGGAGCAAACAGGAUUAGAUACCCUGGUAG
rnacentral:rRNA from 1 species